rnacentral:rRNA from 1 species
AUGUCGGUAGGCAAGAAGCCGUCGCCGUCGACGUCGCGGCACGACGCGGAGAAGGCCGCCGAAGAAGUAGAGGGAGGAGACAACAGCGGCGGCGACGUCGCCGUGAUGCAGCGGAAGGAGAGCGGUGGGAAGAAGGCGGCCGAUCAGCGGCGGUACAGCCGGUGCUUCUCGGGGCUGGAGAUCAGCAUCGGUCCGGGCCCGCUCAAGGACGUCGACGCCGGGAAGCUCAAAGGGCAGAUCAGGAAGUGGGCCAGGGCCGUCGUGGGCUACGCGCGCCAGCUCAGCUUCGGCUCGCCGAGGUCCUCCCCUCGCAAGUCCGGCGACGGCGCCACGCCGAAGUCGGCCGCCGUCCGGUCCAAGUCUGGCCUCGGCGGCGCCAGGAGCGACCCUCCCUCGGCCGAGCUGCCACCGUGA